rnacentral:rRNA from 1 species
GACGAACGCUGGCGGCGUGCCUAAUACAUGCAAGUCGAACGCAUUUUCUUUCACCGUAGCUUGCUACACCGAAAGAAAAUGAGUGGCGAACGGGUGAGUAACACGUGGGUAACCUGCCCAUCAGCGGGGGAUAACACUUGGAAACAGGUGCUAAUACCGCAUAAUUCCAUUUACUGCAUGGUAGAUGGAUGAAAGGCGCUUUUGCGUCACUGAUGGAUGGACCCGCGGUGCAUUAGCUAGGUGGUGGGGUAACGGCCUACCAAGGCUGCGAUGCAUAGCCGACCUGAGAGGGUGAUCGGCCACACUGGGACUGAGACACGGCCCAGACUCCUACGGGAGGCAGCAGUAGGGAAUCUUCGGCAAUGGACGCAAGUCUGACCGAGCAACGCCGCGUGAGUGAAGAAGGUUUUCGGAUCGUAAAACUCUGUUGUUAGAAAAGAACAAGGAUGAGAGUGGAAAGUUCAUCCCUUGACGGUAUCUAACCAGAAAGCCACGGCUAACUACGUG